UACGAAGGGGGCUAGCGUUGCUCGGAAUCACUGGGCGUAAAGGGCGCGUAGGCGGCCGUUUAAGUCGGGGGUGAAAGCCUGUGGCUCAACCACAGAAUUGCCUUCGAUACUGGACGGCUUGAGUAUGGUAGAGGUUGGUGGAACUGCGAGUGUAGAGGUGAAAUUCGUAGAUAUUCGCAAGAACACCGGUGGCGAAGGCGGCCAACUGGACCAUUACUGACGCUGAGGCACGAAAGCUAGGGGAGCAAACAGG
rnacentral:rRNA from 1 species